CACGGGGGGAGCAAGCGUUGUUCGGAAUCACUGGGCGUAAAGGGCGUGUAGGCGGUCAGGUAAGUGAGAUGUGAAAUGCCCCGGCUCACCCGGGGACCGGCAUCUCAUACUGCUUGGCUUGAGUACGGGAGAGGAUGUGGGAAUUCCUGGUGUAGCGGUGAAAUGCGUAGAUAUCAGGAGGAACACCCGUGGCUAAGGCGGCUCUCUAGUACGGUACUGACGCUGAGACGCGAAAGCGUGGGGAGCGAACAGG
rnacentral:rRNA from 1 species